UUGGAACCCUCUCCCUCUUAGCAGCUCAAGGUCAUUAUUUUAGCAGUUCUCCCUUCCUGCACUAUUUCCCCCUCUCUAAUGCAUCUUCCUUACUGCAUAAAACUUACAUUUUCUUCCAUUAAAAAAAAUAAAAAAACCAUUUCUCCCGUUAGUCCUAGGUCUCUGCUCAGCUCAAAGCAAAUGACUCAAAACACUUUUCUAUAGUGUGGUUUCCGGUUUCUCUUUCCCUUCUCAAACCCGCUACGCCUGGACUUGGACCCAUACUAGACCUCUGAAUCUGCUUCUGUUUGGUUCCAGAUUUUGUUUGUUCUAAGGUUUCUCUGGAAUUCUGUGAUUUGGAGGAUUCUGGCCAAGGCAUGUGCUUCUGGAACAGUUGGGUUUUCUUCUUGGCUGGCCGUGGAGUCUGAAGCCCAGAAGACAGCCUUUCAGAUCAGUCUGGGGGACGGCUCUGAAAAGCUGAGAUCACAUGUCUCUUGAUGAAAGAUGCAGGUCACCUAUGUCAGAUUCCUGCCAAAAAUGCAUAACCCGAGCAUCAAAAUGAUUCACCAUAGUAAUGAAUAGUAGUCCCUUGAAUAAGAAAAUCAAGAUCCAAGUUGAUACUGAAAAACAUAAAUAAUAAAGAGAAGAA